rnacentral:rRNA from 1 species
CCUACGGGUGGCAGCAGUGAGGAAUAUUGGUCAAUGGACGAGAGUCUGAACCAGCCAAGUAGCGUGAAGGAUGACUGCCCUAUGGGUUGUAAACUUCUUUUAUAUGGGAAUAAAAUGUUCCACGUGUGGGAUUUUGUAUGUACCAUAUGAAUAGGGAUCGGCUAACUCCGUGCCAGCAGCCGUGGUAAUACGGAGGGUCCGGGCGUUAUCCGGAUUUAUUGGGUUUAAAGGGAGCGUAGGUGGAUUGUUAAGUCAGUUGUGAAAGUUUGCGGCUCAACCGUAAAAUUGCAGUUGAAACUGGCAGUCUUGAGUACAGUAGAGGUAGGCGGAAUUCGUGGUGUAGCGGUGAAAUGCUUAGAUAUCACGAAGAACUCCGAUUGCGAAGGCAGUUCACUGGACUGCAACUGACACUGAGGCUCGAAAGUGUGGGUAUCAAACAGGAUUAGAUACCCUUGUAGUC